GGGCUCGCUUUAGCAGCACAAAUAGUAGAACUGGGUCAAUACAGAGAAGAUUAGCAUGGCCCCUCAGGGAUGACAUGCUCUCUGUAUUUAAAAAAAAUUUCUUUU